ACACUCUGGUUUCUCUUCAAACCACGCAUAAAUCUUUCGCCUUUUACUAAAGAUUUCCGUGGAGAGGAACAUUGAAUGAGUCUAUAGACCAUUUUUUCAACCCUGUUACACACAGGGU